CCUACGGGAGGCAGCAGUGGGGAAUAUUGCACAAUGGGGGAAACCCUGAUGCAGCGACGCCGCGUGAGUGAAGAAGUAAUUCGUUAUGUAAAGCUCUAUCAGCAGGGAAGAAAAUGACAGUACCUGUAGAAUAAGCUCCGGCUAACUACGUGCCAGCAGCCGCGGUAAUACGUAGGGAGCAAGCGUUAUCCGGAAUUAUUGGGUGUAAAGGGUGCGUAGACGGGACAGCAAGUUAGUUGUGAAAGCCCUCGGCUUAACUGAGGAACUGCAACUAAAACUAUUGUUCUUGUGUGCAGGAGAGGAAA
rnacentral:rRNA from 1 species